UACGUAGGGAGCAAGCGUUGUCCGGAAUCAUUGGGCGUAAAGCGCGCGUAGGCGGCCCUGUAAGUCCGUUGUGAAAGUCAAAGGCUCAACCUUUGAAAGCCGAUGGAUACUGCAGGGCUAGAGUCCGGAAGAGGCGAGUGGAAUUCCUGGUGUAGCGGUGGAAUGCGCAGAUAUCAGGAGGAACACCGGUGGCGAAGGCGGAUCUCUGGGCCGAUACUGACGCUGAGGAGCGAAAGCGUGGGGAGCGAACAGG
rnacentral:rRNA from 1 species